GGGAGAAGAGAGUCAGGUGAGGCUUGACCCAUGCAACACACUCAGGCACAGGGACAGGGGCCUGGGCUCCUGAGCUGCGGGCUGCUGCUGGCCUCAGCUCCUGUACCCCUUCAGUUCCACCACCCCUGGAUCUCAGUCUCCAGGAUCCUACACUUUUUCACAGGACCACUCAGGAGGAUAGACUGUCACUGCCUGCCAGGAAUGUUCCAGGAGGUUAGACUAUUUUUCAGUGUUGAAUCAGUUUAAUCUGCAGGCAGAUGUCAGUGACCAUAGCAACGAAGUCUCUUUUGCUUCUUACUCUUCCCUGCAGUAUCAACUGCUCUCCCUACUCACAGCAGGGUUCGUAGCACUAACAGCUGGUCAGGAUCAGCAACCUCUGUUCCUCCAGCCACAGGGCCAGAAACCCUGGAGGAGAGACAGUGAGUCUUUCCCUCACGCUGCCUCAUCGGACCCACCAGUGAUGCUGGAUGAUUUAUCUGUCAGUUCAUUCUGUCUCCUCCAUUCUGUGCCCACAAAAGGCUCCUCUUUGAAUUGCUGCCUUGUGUUCCCAGACUCCUGUAAUGCCUCCUACCAUGCCCCUGCCAGACCUUUCCAUCUGCUCCACAUCCUGAGAGCUGAGCAUGAUUUGAACGUGACUUAACUGUGUCACAUCGCCCACGUACUCACUUGAUACUCUUGAAUAGCUUCCUGACACUCCCAGGUCAUAAAUCCAUCCUCUUAUUCACCAGGGUCCUCCCUUCUGUGUUGCCCUCUGUCUUAGUCACUGUUGUUAUUGCUGAGACAAAACACCUGACACUCAAUGUUCAAAGAGCAAAGGUUUGUUGUAGCUCACAGUUUGUAGAGGUUUCAUUCCCUACUUGAUGGAUUGGAAGGCAGGGUGUCAUGGCAGAGGGUCCUCACAGAGUGGACAGGAGGCAGUAAAAGACAAACAACACUAAGAGAUGGCAGCAUCAUUGUCUCUGUCUCUUAUAUUCUGUGCAGGUGCUCGUCAUGAGGGCAGGCAACAAUCCCACCCAUGAUGGGGCAGCCUUCACCCCAGCAUCCCACAUCGUAGAUCCUGCCACCUCUCCAAAACACCAUCUGUGACCACAUGAAGCUUCGGGGGACAUCUAGACACAGUCCAUAACACUGGGGCUCCCACUAAGGGGGGACCUCCCACUGGUUGUUCUACCAGAAUAGGUUUCCGUGUUGUUCAUUAUGCAAAAAUGUUUUUACGUUUUUUUUUUCAUGAACUAACUUCUUGCCAUUCUUUCAUUAUUGGCUCCAAACUCACUUCCCUCAAAAGCCUCGCCUCACCAGGUCAUCUGGCUCCUAUGUUCCCUCUAGCUGGAGGAUUCUGAGAGCAUCUUUGUGGAACAAGUGAGGAUUUUCCUUUGGUCCCUCAUCAUGCUUUCUAAGAAGGUGCUUCCAUCCCUAUACUGCUCUGGAUUGUUUUUGAGACCCAAAUGUUUUACAUACUUAUGGUGUAUUUGCUGGUUAAUUAAGAGUAAUAAUUGCUAUUUUGAGUAUGAAGCUCUGCAUGUAAGACCUCACUUACUUCCAUGCAGAGCCUGCAAGAAGAGUUUAACUGCAUUUUAGAGAUGAACCAACUGUAUCUGUGAAAGGUUUCACAAUGCCCUUGGAGUCACAGAGCACGCAGACACAGAACCAUUUCCUGCACUAGGUUUGUCUGGCGUCACAGCCAUGGCUCCUGUGCUAGGUAUCAUUAGAUUUCUUAUUGUCCAGGACGGAUAUUAAACCUGAUGCGAAAAAUUAGUAGUAAAAUCAGUCUAGUGAGAUGGCCUAGUGCUCUGAAGGUGGAUGAAUGGUUAGAACAAUGCAAACUGCACCUGGAAUGUUCAUAUCUCAUUCACUCCAGGACAUGCUCAGUUAGAAGGGGAGGACUUCCUGGCUCUGCAGUGGUCCUACCCGGCAGUGUUCAGUGGGAAAGCUCCCCGGCUCCACCACUGGAGCGUGUCCCCGAGGAAAGCCUAUUCGGAGGAAUGGAGACAAACUAGAACAGACCCUCACAGGCUGGGACAGUUGGCCACAGAACACAGGGAGACACCUAAUCGGGCUUUGUGAACAGAAGAUUCCAGGGACACAGAGGAGCUGAGUGUGGAGAUCUUAAAAGCAGGUAGCAUGCGAUGCCUUCUGUUCAUGAAGACAGGAAAUUCAACAGGGGACAAUGGAUAAAAAGUGAGGGGAGAAUAUUGUACAGUCAGAUAAAAGCAAGUCCUGUGAAGGAGCAUUAUGUAUUGAAAAUAAUCAGUGUAGAUAUGGUUCUGGAUACCAGCUAUUGUCCUACCCUAGUUGCGAGAUCUGAAAAAUAAUUUUUCCUGAAUCUUACCUUAGUCUAUAAAAUGGAAACAAAACAUAUCCUGAGAACAAAGAUAUUUUGAAAUAGGCUAAUAGUCUAAUGCACAGGAUUGUUGUAUAAUAUGAGUUGUCCUUUUUUCUCCCUUUAUAAUAAUUGGUACUGCACAGCGGGGACUGGCUUCCUUUCUUAGACCCAACAGCCUACCAUGGGGCUGUAAGCGAAUCUGAAGUAAUACAAGCAGGGAAAUUAUUUUAGCGAAAUUAUUUUAGAAAAAGCAGUGCUAGUGUGAUUGGAGAGCUGAGUGUCUCAAAUGCCCUUUCUCAUUUAACAGUCUAUAAUUACUGGAUUUUGUCACAGAAUUUUCCAAAAUAUCUCUGGCAGGUUACAGAGCCUCCUCAGGGGAGGUGGGGGCAUGACCUCCAUGGGUGUGCCUCCCUCCCUUCUCCCUUGAUUUCUCCCUGUUUCCCACCUUGCCAAGAGCUGCUCCUCCUCUACACCUGCCUCUGCCAUUCCACGCUGCCUUGGAGCCAUUUACGCAUGGAUUGAAACCUCUACAAAUUUGAGCAGAAACAAAGUUUCUUCUUAAGCUGUGGAGGUUGGACAUUAAGACAAUCAGAAGUCCAGUUUACAUCUAUGAUCACUAUUGUGAUAGAUCAGCUUGGCUGGAGUAAGAACUACCUGGAAGAUUAGUAAAGACCACUUCUAGGUGUGACCAUUCAUAACUGACACGUCGGCCAGCAAACUCAGCGGGGUCAAACCAUCCUGGAUAGAUAGAACAGAGAGGGGAAAGAAGAAGGAAGUGCCCCCAUU